AAGCGUUGUCCGGAUUUAUUGGGCGUAAAGAGCGUGUAGGCGGCUUGGUAGGUCCGCUGUGAAAACUCGAGGCUCAACCUCGAGAUGUCGGCGGAAACCACUUGGCUAGAGUCCGGAAGAGGAGAGUGGAAUUCCUGGUGUAGCGGUGAAAUGCGCAGAUAUCAGGAAGAACACCUAUGGCGAAGGCAGCUCUCUGGGACGGUACUGACGCUGGGACGCGAAAGCGUGGGGAGCGAACAGGAUUAGAUACCCUGGUAGUCCACGCCGUAAACGAUGGGUGCUAGGUGUGGGCGGUGUCGACUCCGUCCGUGCCGAAGCUAACGCAUUAAGCACCCCGCCUGGGGAGUACGGCCGCAAGGCUA
rnacentral:rRNA from 1 species